rnacentral:sRNA from 1 species
GCUGGGUGCAGUGGUGCACGCCUGUAAUCCCAGCAGUUUGGGAAGCUGAGGCAGGAGGAUCAUGAGUUCAAAGGCAGCCGAGCAACUUAUCGAGCCCUAAGCAACUCAGUGAGACCCUGUCUCUA